CGUGGUGUAGGGGUUAACAUGCCUGCCUGUCACGCAGGAGAUCGCGGGUUCAAAUCCCGUCG
rnacentral:tRNA from 1 species